GCAAGAGAUCAGGAGAGCUGUCACCUGGCCGGGAGAAUUUGUAUCCCUUUGUGUCCUGUCUCAGGAGAAAGGGGGAGCAGAUGGAGCCUUUCUUCUGCUUGCUGUUUCUCCAUUGCCUUCAGCUCAACAGCAAACUUUAAAUUGAAGCUACAGAUGACAGAAUCUGCACACAUAGCAACGGGGAUGAUCAGAAGCAGCAAACGCAGUCAUGUGGGGUGACUCCAUUGCUCUCAUCAUCAUCCACGCGUGAACAUUUCGAAGCAUUUCUAUUGUUUUCAAACCCAAACUCCAUUUUCAGUUCUUCCACCUGCUAGCUAUGUGGUCCAAGGUGAGUGAUGUAGGCAGAUAGAUAGAGAGAGAGAGAGAGAGAGAGAGAGAGAACACAGCACAUAUUACACUCUGAGUAUGAGUUCUUAAAGACGUAUUUAUUAUAUGUAUGUACACUGUGGCUGUCUUCAGAUGCACCAGAAGAGGACAUCAGAUCUCAUUACCAUAGUUGUGAACCACCAUGUGGUUACUGGGAUUUGAACUCAGUACCUUCGGAAGAGCAGUCAGUGCUCUUAUCUGCUGAGCCAUCUCUCCAGCCCCGAGGGCUAUCUUUCCAUCCUACCUACUAGUAAAAAGAUCUGAGUUCAAGUCCUACCUGGACUACAGAACAAGUUCAAGGCCAGCCUGAGCAAUUUAGUGAGACUCAGACUCUAAGUAACAAAAACAACAGCAACAACAGAAAGAAAGCUGAGGAUAUAGCUCAGUGGUAAAAUGCUUGCACAGCAGGUCUGAAACUUCAAGUUCAAUCCUCAGUAUGGGGAGGGAAAAAUCAGGUUACUUGGAGGGAUGGUUCAAAUGGCACAGAGCACCUCCUGAUAGCCACCGAGGUUGUUUGUCUCUGUGGUCUGCCCUACUCUGGAUAUUCCAUAUAAAUGGAACCACGUAUCAGGCUUUUGUGUGUAUCUGGCUUCAUUCGCUCAGAAUGAUUUCAGCGUAGCAUGUAUCAGUGUUCCAUGUGUAUGUGUAAUGACCAAGAUUGUGUUAGUUACUUCCAUCUCCGUGUGACCAAAGUAUGUGACAGAAACUUAAAAGAGGAUUGAGUCUUUUUUUUUAAUUAGGUAUUUUCUUCAUUUACAUUUCAAAUGCUAUCCCAAAAGUCCCCCAUACCCUCCCCUGCCCAUGCUCAUGAAUUGGGUCUUUUUAAGCUUUUUUUUUUUUUUUUAAAUGUGUAUGGGUGUUUUGCCUGCACAUGUGUCUGUGCACCACAAACAUGCCUGGUGCUGGAGCUACAGAUAGUUGUGGACCUUCAUGUUGGCACUGGGAAUCGAACUCUGAUCCUCUAGAAGGCCAGUCCAUACUGGGCCAUCUCUCCAUCACUAGGAAGGAUUAAUCUUGAUCAGAAUUUGGAAGUGUGGGGAAGUCUUGGUGGAUGUCCUAGUGGGGAGCAGAGAUUGAUGGAGUUGUGUGUGGACUAGAAAGCAGAGUGCGGAAUGACAACUGGCUGAGGGGCUGGUGAGAUGGCUCAGUGGGUAAGAGCACCCGACUGCUCUUCCAAAGGUCCAGAGUUCAAAUCCCAGCAACCACAUGGUGGUUCACAACCAUCCGUAAAGAGAUCUUACUCCCUCUUCUGGAGUGUCUGAAGACAGCUACAGUGUACUUACAUAUAAUAAAUAAAUAAAUCUUAAAAAAAAAAAAAA